AUACAUGCUUAAAAGUCCGACUCACGAAGGACUGUAUUUAUUAGAUUCAAAAACCAAUGCCCUUCGGGGCUCCUUGGUGAUUCAUAAUAACUUCACGAAUCGCAUAGCCUUGUGCUGGCGAUGGUUCAUUCAAAUUUCUGCCCUAUCAACUUGAUUGUAGGAUAGUGGCCUACAAUGGUGGCAACGGGUAACGGGGAAUUAGGGUUCUAUUCCGGAGAAGGAGCCUGAGAAACGGCUACUACAUCCAAGGACGGCAGCAGGCGCGCAAAUUACCCAAUGCUAAUUCAGCGAGGUAGUGACAAUACAUAUCGAUCCAGGGCUCUUUCGGGUCUUGGAAUUGGAAUGAGUACAAUUUAAAUCCCUUAACGAGGAACAAUUGGAGGGCAAGUCUGGUCGACAAUCAGUCACGUGCUGGCGCCAGCAAUAAUGAGGGGCCCUUAUUGCAACACCUCUUAGUCGAGCAUUCAGAUUAUGUAAUGGGAUGAAUGCCGGCCCAGGCAACCUGGUACGAGGAAACCAAUGAGGUCAUUGGUAAUCUCGUGGCAUGCUUGCACAAUUCCAUUGUGCACGAGUUAUGCUGUAACGCGCGGAAAGGUGCCGGUGAUCAAUGAAAAGAUCAUUCAUGGAACGUGCUAUCACCACACGGAUAGUGUGUCUUGCAGCGUGAGCUCCCAUUAAGUAAGCGCUACAAGAGUGUACUACUACACGAAACAACCACCGAGAGGCCAGCAGCCGCGGUAAUUCCAGCUCCAAUAGCGUAUAUUAAAGUUGUUGCAGUUAAAAAGCUCGUAGUUGAACCUUGGGCUUGGCUGUAUGGUCCAUCUUACGAUGCGUUACUUUACGGCCGAGCCUUUUCUUCUGGGGAACCGCAUGGCCUUUAUUGGCUGUGUUGGCGAUCCAGGACUUUUACUUUGAAAAAAUUAGAGUGUUCAAAGCAGGCAUUUGCUCGAAUACCUUAGCAUGGAAUAAUAGAAUAGGACGCCAGUCUUAUUUUGUUGGUUUCUAGGACUGUCGUAAUGAUUAAUAGGGAUUGUCGGGGGCGUUAGUAUUCGAAUGUCAGAGGUGAAAUUCUUGGAUCACUCGAAGACUAGCUACUGCGAAAGCAUUCGCCAAGGAUGUUUUCAUUAAUCAGUGAACGAAAGUUAGGGGAUCGAAGACGAUCAGGUAAUUAAUCACGUGCUAUCCCCUUAUUCAUUACAUAAGCUAACCCUUCUUAGAUACCGUCGUAGUCUUAACCGUAAACUAUGCCGACUAGGGAUCGGACGAUGUUUUUUUCUUGACUCGUUCGGCACCUUACGAGAAAUCAAAGUUUUUGGGUUCUGGGGGGAGUAUGGUCGCAAGGCUGAAACUUAAAGAAAUUGACGGAAGGGCACCACCAGUAAGGCCGUCAACCUAAUUUCCAAUUGAUUUAUUGCUAACAUUUCUAUAGGGCGUGGAGCCUGCGGCUUAAUUUGACUCAACACGGGAAAUCUCACCAGGUCCAGACACAAGAAGGAUUGACAGAUUGAGAGCUCUUUCUUGA
rnacentral:rRNA from 1 species